CCUACGGGUGGCUGCAGUGGGGAAUAUUGGACAAUGGGGGCAACCCUGAUCCAGCCAUGCCGCGUGUGUGAAGAAGGCCCCCGGGUUGUAAAGCACUUUCAGUGAGGAAGAACGCCUGGUGGUUAAUACCCAUCAGGAAAGACAUCACUCACAGAAGAAGCACCGGCUAACUCCGUGCCAGCAGCCGCGGUAAUACGGAGGGUGCGAGCGUUAAUCGGAAUUACUGGGCGUAAAGCGCGCGUAGGUGGCUUGAUAAGCCGGUUGUGAAAGCCCCGGGCUCAACCUGGGAACGGCAUCCGGAACUGUCAAGCUAGAGUGCAGGAGAGGAAGGUAGAAUUCCCGGUGUAGCGGUGAAAUGUGUAGAGAUCGGGAGGAAUACCAGUGGCGAAGGCGGCCUUCUGGACUGACACUGACACUGAGGUGCGAAAGCGUGGGUAGCAAACAGGAUUAGAUACCCGAGUAGUC
rnacentral:rRNA from 1 species